UGAGGAAUAUUGGUCAAUGGGCGCAAGCCUGAACCAGCCAUCCCGCGUGCAGGAAGACGGCGCUAUGCGUUGUAAACUGCUUUUCCAGGGGGAGAAACUUGCGCACGUGUUGCGCAAUUGACGGUACCCUGGGAAUAAGCAUCGGCUAACUCCGUGCCAGCAGCCGCGGUAAUACGGAGGAUGCGAGCGUUAUCCGGAUUCAUUGGGUUUAAAGGGUGCGUAGGCGGACUAUUAAGUCAGUGGUGAAAUCCUGCAGCUUAACUGCAGAACUGCCAUUGAUACUGAUAGCCCUGAGUUUGGUUAAGGUAGGCGGAAUGUGUAAUGUAGCGGUGAAAUGCUUAGAUAUUACAUAGAACACCAAUUGCGUAGGCAGCUUACUGAGCCGACACUGACGCUGAGGCACGAAAGCGUGGGGAUCGAACAG
rnacentral:rRNA from 1 species